rnacentral:rRNA from 1 species
GUGGGGAAUCUUAGACAAUGGGGGAAACCCUGAUCUAGCCAUGCCGCGUGAUCGAUGAAGGCCUUAGGGUUGUAAAGAUCUUUCAGCUGGGAAGAUAAUGACGGUACCAGCAGAAGAAGCCCCGGCUAACUCCGUGCCAGCAGCCGCGGUAAUACGGAGGGGGCUAGCGUUGUUCGGAAUUACUGGGCGUAAAGCGCACGUAGGCGGAUUGGAAAGUUGGGGGUGAAAUCCCGGGGCUCAACCCCGGAACUGCCUUCAAAACUCCCAGUCUUGAGGUCGAGAGAGGUGAGUGGAAUUCCGAGUGUAGAGGUGAAAUUCGUAGAUAUUCGGAGGAACACCAGUGGCGAAGGCGGCUCACUGGCUCGAUACUGACGCUGAGGUGCGAAAGCGUGGGGAGCAAACAGGAUUAGAAACCCUUGUAGUCC